rnacentral:rRNA from 1 species
ACGAACGCUGGCGGCGUGCUUAACACAUGCAAGUCGAACGAGAAAUCCUGGGCAACCGGGUGAGUAAAGUGGCGCACGGGUGAGUAACGCGUGGGUAACCUACCCUUGAGUUGGGGAUAACUCCGCGAAAGCGGGGCUAAUACCGAAUAAUAUCCCAAUCCCUUCGGAGAAUGGGAUCAAAGAUAGCCUCUGCAUGCAAGCUAUUGCUUAUGGAUGGGCCCGCGUACCAUUAGCUAGUUGGUAGGGUAAUGGCCUACCAAGGCAACGAUGGUUAGCUG